rnacentral:pre_miRNA from 1 species
AGGGGAAUAGCUGGGUCAAAUGGUGGUUCCAUUCCUGGGUUUCCGAGGAAUCUCUAUACUGCUUUCCAAAUUGGCCACACCAAUUUGCGGUCCCACAAGCAAU